rnacentral:rRNA from 1 species
GACGAACCGUGCAAACGUUGUUCGGAAUCACUGGGCUUAAAGGGCGCGUAGGCGGCAGAGCAAGUCGGGGGUGAAAUCUUUCGGCUCAACCGGAAAAGUGCCUUCGAUACUGCUUUGCUCGAGGAAGAUAGGGGCCACGGGAACGACCAGUGGAGCGGUGAAAUGCGUUGAGAUUGGUAGGAACGCCGGUGGCGAAAGCGCGUGGCUGGAUCUUCCCUGACGCUGAGGCGCGAAAGCUAGGGGAGCAAACGGG